GGGUUGUGAGGUUAAGCGACUAAGCGUACACGGUGGAUGCCCUGGCAGUCAGAGGCGAUGAAGGACGUGCUAAUCUGCGAUAAGCGUCGGUAAGGUGAUAUGAACCGUUAUAACCGGCGAUUUCCGAAUGGGGAAACCCAGUGUGAUUCGUCACACUAUCAUUAACUGAAUCCAUAGGUUAAUGAGGCGAACCGGGGGAACUGAAACAUCUAAGUACCCCGAGGAAAAGAAAUCAACCGAGAUUCCCCCAGUAGCGGCGAGCGAACGGGGAGCAGCCCAGAGCCUGAAUCAGUGUGUGUGUUAGUGGAAGCGUCUGGAAAGGCGCGCGAUACAGGGUGACAGCCCCGUACACAAAAAUGCACAUGCUGUGAGCUCGAUGAGUAGGGCGGGACACGUGGUAUCCUGUCUGAAUAUGGGGGGACCAUCCUCCAAGGCUAAAUACUCCUGACUGACCGAUAGUGAACCAGUACCGUGAGGGAAAGGCGAAAAGAACCCCGGCGAGGGGAGUGAAAAAGAACCUGAAACCGUGUACGUACAAGCAGUGGGAGCACGCUUAGGCGUGUGACUGCGUACCUUUUGUAUAAUGGGUCAGCGACUUAUAUUCUGUAGCAAGGUUAACCGAAUAGGGGAGCCGAAGGGAAACCGAGUCUUAACUGGGCGUUAAGUUGCAGGGUAUAGACCCGAAACCCGGUGAUCUAGCCAUGGGCAGGUUGAAGGUUGGGUAACACUAACUGGAGGACCGAACCGACUAAUGUUGAAAAAUUAGCGGAUGACUUGUGGCUGGGGGUGAAAGGCCAAUCAAACCGGGAGAUAGCUGGUUCUCCCCGAAAGCUAUUUAGGUAGCGCCUCGUGAAUUCAUCUCCGGGGGUAGAGCACUGUUUCGGCAAGGGGGUCAUCCCGACUUACCAACCCGAUGCAAACUGCGAAUACCGGAGAAUGUUAUCACGGGAGACACACGGCGGGUGCUAACGUCCGUCGUGAAGAGGGAAACAACCCAGACCGCCAGCUAAGGUCCCAAAGUCAUGGUUAAGUGGGAAACGAUGUGGGAAGGCCCAGACAGCCAGGAUGUUGGCUUAGAAGCAGCCAUCAUUUAAAGAAAGCGUAAUAGCUCACUGGUCGAGUCGGCCUGCGCGGAAGAUGUAACGGGGCUAAACCAUGCACCGAAGCUGCGGCAGCGACACUAUGUGUUGUUGGGUAGGGGAGCGUUCUGUAAGCCUGUGAAGGUGUGCUGUGAGGCAUGCUGGAGGUAUCAGAAGUGCGAAUGCUGACAUAAGUAACGAUAAAGCGGGUGAAAAGCCCGCUCGCCGGAAGACCAAGGGUUCCUGUCCAACGUUAAUCGGGGCAGGGUGAGUCGACCCCUAAGGCGAGGCCGAAAGGCGUAGUCGAUGGGAAACAGGUUAAUAUUCCUGUACUUGGUGUUACUGCGAAGGGGGGACGGAGAAGGCUAUGUUGGCCGGGCGACGGUUGUCCCGGUUUAAGCGUGUAGGCUGGUUUUCCAGGCAAAUCCGGAAAAUCAAGGCUGAGGCGUGAUGACGAGGCACUACGGUGCUGAAGCAACAAAUGCCCUGCUUCCAGGAAAAGCCUCUAAGCAUCAGGUAACAUCAAAUCGUACCCCAAACCGACACAGGUGGUCAGGUAGAGAAUACCAAGGCGCUUGAGAGAACUCGGGUGAAGGAACUAGGCAAAAUGGUGCCGUAACUUCGGGAGAAGGCACGCUGAUAUGUAGGUGAAGUCCCUCGCGGAUGGAGCUGAAAUCAGUCGAAGAUACCAGCUGGCUGCAACUGUUUAUUAAAAACACAGCACUGUGCAAACACGAAAGUGGACGUAUACGGUGUGACGCCUGCCCGGUGCCGGAAGGUUAAUUGAUGGGGUUAGCCGCAAGGCGAAGCUCUUGAUCGAAGCCCCGGUAAACGGCGGCCGUAACUAUAACGGUCCUAAGGUAGCGAAAUUCCUUGUCGGGUAAGUUCCGACCUGCACGAAUGGCGUAAUGAUGGCCAGGCUGUCUCCACCCGAGACUCAGUGAAAUUGAACUCGCUGUGAAGAUGCAGUGUACCCGCGGCAAGACGGAAAGACCCCGUGAACCUUUACUAUAGCUUGACACUGAACAUUGAGCCUUGAUGUGUAGGAUAGGUGGGAGGCUUUGAAGUGUGGACGCCAGUCUGCAUGGAGCCGACCUUGAAAUACCACCCUUUAAUGUUUGAUGUUCUAACGUUGACCCGUAAUCCGGGUUGCGGACAGUGUCUGGUGGGUAGUUUGACUGGGGCGGUCUCCUCCUAAAGAGUAACGGAGGAGCACGAAGGUUGGCUAAUCCUGGUCGGACAUCAGGAGGUUAGUGCAAUGGCAUAAGCCAGCUUGACUGCGAGCGUGACGGCGCGAGCAGGUGCGAAAGCAGGUCAUAGUGAUCCGGUGGUUCUGAAUGGAAGGGCCAUCGCUCAACGGAUAAAAGGUACUCCGGGGAUAACAGGCUGAUACCGCCCAAGAGUUCAUAUCGACGGCGGUGUUUGGCACCUCGAUGUCGGCUCAUCACAUCCUGGGGCUGAAGUAGGUCCCAAGGGUAUGGCUGUUCGCCAUUUAAAGUGGUACGCGAGCUGGGUUUAGAACGUCGUGAGACAGUUCGGUCCCUAUCUGCCGUGGGCGCUGGAGAACUGAGGGGGGCUGCUCCUAGUACGAGAGGACCGGAGUGGACGCAUCACUGGUGUUCGGGUUGUCAUGCCAAUGGCACUGCCCGGUAGCUAAAUGCGGAAGAGAUAAGUGCUGAAAGCAUCUAAGCACGAAACUUGCCCCGAGAUGAGUUCUCCCUGACCCUUUAAGGGUCCUGAAGGAACGUUGAAGACGACGACGUUGAUAGGCCGGGUGUGUAAGCGCAGCGAUGCGUUGAGCUAACCGGUACUAAUGAACCGUGAGGCUUAACCUUACAACGCCGAAGGUGUUU
rnacentral:rRNA from 1 species